rnacentral:rRNA from 1 species
GUUGUAUGGUUAAGUGACUAAGCGUACACGGUGGAUGCCUUGGCAGUCAGAGGCGAUGAAAGACGUAGUAACUUGCGAUAAGCCCAGAUUAGGUAGUAACAACCAUUUGAGUCUGGGAUUUCUGAAUGGGGAAACCCACGUGCAUAAGCACGUAUCCUUGCCUGAAUACAUAGGGUAAGGAGGCGAACCGGGGGAACUGAAACAUCUAAGUACCCCGAGGAAAAGAAAUCAACCGAGAUUCCGAAAGUAGCGGCGAGCGAAAUUGGACUAGCCCUUAAGCUUUAUACGCGUUAGACGAACGGUCUGGAAAGUCCGACGAUACAGGGUGAUAGUCCCGUAGUUGACGACGUGUGUUCAGUGAAAUCGAGUAGGGCGGGACACGUGAUAUCCUGUCUGAAUAUGGGGGGACCAUCCUCCAAGGCUAAAUACUACUGACUGACCGAUAGUGAACCAGUACCGUGAGGGAAAGGCGAAAAGAACCCCUGUGAGGGGAGUGAAAUAGAACCUGAAACCGUGUACGUACAAGCAGUAGGAGCAGGCUUUGUCCUGUGACUGCGUACCUUUUGUAUAAUGGGUCAGCGACUUAUAUUCAGUGGCAAGGUUAACCAUCUAGGGGAGCCGUAGGGAAACCGAGUCUUAACUGGGCGUUCAGUCUCUGGAUAUAGACCCGAAACCAGGUGAUCUAGCCAUGGGCAGGUUGAAGGUUGAGUAACAUCAACUGGAGGACCGAACCGACUAAUGUUGAAAAAUUAGCGGAUGACUUGUGGCUAGGGGUGAAAGGCCAAUCAAACCUGGAGAUAGCUGGUUCUCCCCGAAAGCUAUUUAGGUAGCGCCUCGGACGAAUACUACUGGGGGUAGAGCACUGUUAAGGCUAGGGGGUCAUCCCGACUUACCAACCCUUUGCAAACUCCGAAUACCAGUAAGUACUAUCCGGGAGACACACGGCGGGUGCUAACGUCCGUCGUGGAGAGGGAAACAACCCAGACCGCCAGCUAAGGUCCCAAAUUACUACUAAGUGGGAAACGAUGUGGGAAGGCUCAGACAGCCAGGAUGUUGGCUUAGAAGCAGCCAUCAUUUAAAGAAAGCGUAAUAGCUCACUGGUCGAGUCGGCCUGCGCGGAAGAUGUAACGGGGCUAAGUAGUAAACCGAAGCUGCGGCAAUAUACUUUUGUAUAUUGGGUAGGGGAGCGUUCUGUAAGCGGUUGAAGGUGUGUGGUAACGCAUGCUGGACGUAUCAGAAGUGCGAAUGCUGACAUGAGUAACGAUAAAGGGGGUGAAAAACCUCCUCGCCGGAAGACCAAGGGUUCCUGUCCAACGUUAAUCGGGGCAGGGUAAGUCGACCCCUAAGGCGAGGCCGAAAGGCGUAGUCGAUGGGAAACGGGUUAAUAUUCCCGUACUUCUUACAAUUGCGAUGGGGGGACGGAGAAGGCUAGGUGGGCCUGGCGACGGUUGUCCAGGUUCAAGUGCGUAGGCUUAAGAGUUAGGUAAAUCCGGCUCUUUCUAAGGCUGAGACACGACGUCGAGCACCUACGGGUGUGAAGUCAUUGAUGCCAUGCUUCCAGGAAAAGCCUCUAAGCUUCAGAUUGUAAGGAAUCGUACCCCAAACCGACACAGGUGGUCGGGUAGAGAAUACCAAGGCGCUUGAGAGAACUCGGGUGAAGGAACUAGGCAAAAUGGUACCGUAACUUCGGGAGAAGGUACGCUCUUGAUGGUGAAGUCCCUUGCGGAUGGAGCUGACGAGAGUCGCAGAUACCAGGUGGCUGCAACUGUUUAUUAAAAACACAGCACUGUGCAAAAUCGUAAGAUGACGUAUACGGUGUGACGCCUGCCCGGUGCCGGAAGGUUAAUUGAUGGGGUUAGACUUCGGUCGAAGCUCUUGAUCGAAGCCCCGGUAAACGGCGGCCGUAACUAUAACGGUCCUAAGGUAGCGAAAUUCCUUGUCGGGUAAGUUCCGACCUGCACGAAUGGCGUAAUGAUGGCCACGCUGUCUCCACCCGAGACUCAGUGAAAUUGAAAUCGCUGUGAAGAUGCAGUGUACCCGCGGCUAGACGGAAAGACCCCGUGAACCUUUACUACAGCUUGGCACUGAACAUUGACCCUACAUGUGUAGGAUAGGUGGGAGGCUUUGAAGCACGUACGCCAGUAUGUGUGGAGCCGUCCUUGAAAUACCACCCUUGUAGUGUUGAUGUUCUAACGUCGACCCCUAAUCGGGGUUGCGGACAGUGCCUGGUGGGUAGUUUGACUGGGGCGGUCUCCUCCCAAAGAGUAACGGAGGAGCACGAAGGUGGGCUAAUCACGGUUGGACAUCGUGAGGUUAGUGCAAUGGCAUAAGCCCGCUUGACUGCGAGAAUGACAAUUCGAGCAGGUGCGAAAGCAGGUCAUAGUGAUCCGGUGGUUCUGAAUGGAAGGGCCAUCGCUCAACGGAUAAAAGGUACUCCGGGGAUAACAGGCUGAUACCGCCCAAGAGUUCAUAUCGACGGCGGUGUUUGGCACCUCGAUGUCGGCUCAUCACAUCCUGGGGCUGAAGUCGGUCCCAAGGGUAUGGCUGUUCGCCAUUUAAAGUGGUACGCGAGCUGGGUUUAGAACGUCGUGAGACAGUUCGGUCCCUAUCUGCCGUGGGCGUUGGAAGAUUGAAGGGGGCUGCUCCUAGUACGAGAGGACCGGAGUGGACGAACCUCUGGUGUUCGGGUUGUGUCGCCAGACGCAUUGCCCGGUAGCUAAGUUCGGAAUCGAUAACCGCUGAAAGCAUCUAAGCGGGAAGCGAGCCCUGAGAUGAGUCUUCCCUGAUACUUUAAGUAUCCUAAAGGGUUGUCGGAGACUACGACGUUGAUAGGUCAGGUGUGUAAGUGCUGUGAGGCAUUGAGCUAACUGAUACUAAUUGCCCGUGAGGCUUAACCAUACAACACCCAAGGGGUUU